AUGGAUGAUCGCCUUUGGGGUGAUCACAGCUCUCCUGCUUUGUGUCAUCAUAAUCCUUGUUAUAUAUUUCAAGGUUGUUCAGCCAGCAAAGACACAGAAAUCACGGGGAGAAGGCCUUGCAUUAGAGUUGUCCUUGAGAGGUACAGGGCAGAGUGAGGACAUCCCCUACGAUGAAGUAGCAUGUGGAUCUACCAGUGAUUACCAGAAUACACAUACGAAUAGAUAUUAUGAGAAUGUAGAUACCAGAAAUCAACACACGUAUGAAUCGUUGGCCAGUCAAGUAAAUGACCGCGACAUGCAUUUGUACGAAACUGUGCAGGCACGCUUGUGAGUAUGAGUGAGUAUGACUUUACUCCACUUUUAGCAAUAUUCCAGCAAUAUCACAGCGGACGACACCAGAGAUGAGCUUCACGCAUUGUACCCAUGUGGGGAAUUGAACCACCACGGUCUUCGGUGUGAUGAGCGGACGCUUUAACCAUUAGGCUACCCCUACCCACCUUGUGAAUAUGAAGUUACCACGCACAUUCAAUAUGUAUACUCUCUUCAAUAUCAAUGCUGUACCAAUACGAUUGUAAAAUACAUCAUUGUGCUGUAUGUAAUUUGAUCGCAUGUAUUCCCCAUUUAUUUGUAAAGUUGUAUUUGUUCCACCCGGGAAGUGAAACGAAUCCAGUGAACCAGAUCACUUACUCUAGAAACAGACAAAACAGCUCUACAAAAACACAUACAAAAUUUCUCAUUCUCAAAGGUUUCACAUUGUGCGCGCUUGGCGACAACAUUACCCUGAAUUUGUUUAUAUUUUUUGAAUAUGCUGCAUGUGUAUUGGUGACCGUUUCCUGGUCCUUGAUUGCAACCGUCACAAAUACAUGCAAGUGCGAGUCAAUUGUUCACUUGAAUGAGUACGAUACAGGAACUUAUAAUACAGAUCAAAAUAGGGAAGAGCA